rnacentral:rRNA from 1 species
UACGAGGGGGGCAAGCGUUGUUCGGAAUUAUUGGGCGUAAAGGGUGCGUAGGCGGUUUGGUAAGUCUUAUGUGAAAUCUACAGGCUCAACUUGUAGUCUGCAUGAGAAACUACCGGGCUUGAGUAUGGGAGAGGUGAGUGGAAUUCCUGGUGUAGCGGUGAAAUGCGUAGAUAUCAGGAGGAACACCUGUGGCGAAAGCGGCUCACUGGACCAUAACUGACGCUGAUGCACGAAAGCUAGGGGAGCAAACAGG